rnacentral:misc_RNA from 1 species
AACGCACAUUGCGCCCUUUGGUAUUCCGAAGGGCAUGCCUGUUCGAGCGUCAUUUCACCACUCAAGCCUGGCUUGGUAUUGGGCGCCGCGGUGUUGUCCGCGCGCCUCAAAGUCUCCGGCUGAGCUGUCCGUCUCUAAGCGUUGUGAUUUCAUUAAUCGCUUCGGAGUGCGGGCGGCCGCGGCCGUUAAAUCUUUCACAAGGUUGACCUCGGAUCAGGUAGGGAUACCCGCUGAACUUAA